AUUGAACGCUGGCGGCAGGCCUAACACAUGCAAGUCGAACGGUAACAGGAAGAAGCUUGCUUCUUUGCUGACGAGUGGCGGACGGGUGAGUAAUGUCUGGGAAACUGCCUGAUGGAGGGGGAUAACUACUGGAAACGGUAGCUAAAACCGCAUAACGUCGCAAGACCAAAGAGGGGGACUUUCGGGCCUCUUGCCAUCGGAUGUGCCCAGAUGGGAUUAGCUAGUAGGUGGGGUAACGGCUCACCUAGGCGACGAUCCCUAGCUGGUCUGAGAGGAUGACCAGCCACACUGGAACUGAGACACGGUCCAGACUCCUACGGGAGGCAGCAGUGGGGAAUAUUGCACAAUGGGCGAAAGCCUGAUGCAGCCAUGCCGCGUGUAUGAAGAAGGCCUUCGGGUUGUAAAGUACUUUCAGCGGGGAGGAAGGGAGUAAAGUUAAUACCUUUGCUCAUUGACGUUACCCGCAGAAGAAGCACCGGCUAACUCCGUG
rnacentral:rRNA from 1 species